UUUAUGGAGAGUUUGAUCCUGGCUCAGGAUGAACGCUGGCGGCGUGCCUAAUACAUGCAAGUCGAGCGAACGGACGAGAAGCUUGCUUCUCUGAUGUUAGCGGCGGACGGGUGAGUAACACGUGGAUAACCUACCCAUAAGACUGGGAUAACUUCGGGAAACCGGAGCUAAUACCGGAUAAUAUUUUGAACCGCAUGGUUCAAAAGUGAAAGACGGUCUUGCUGUCACUUAUGGAUGGAUCCGCGCUGCAUUAGCUAGUUGGUAAGGUAACGGCUUACCAAGGCAACGAUGCAUAGCCGACCUGAGAGGGUGAUCGGCCACACUGGAACUGAGACACGGUCCAGACUCCUACGGGAGGCAGCAGUAGGGAAUCUUCCGCAAUGGGCGAAAGCCUGACGGAGCAACGCCGCGUGAGUGAUGAAGGUCUUCGGAUCGUAAAACUCUGUUAUUAGGGAAGAACAUAUGUGUAAGUAACUGUGCACAUCUUGACGGUACCUAAUCAGAAAGCCACGGCUAACUACGUGCCAGCAGCCGCGGUAAUACGUAGGUGGCAAGCGUUAUCCGGAAUUAUUGGGCGUAAAGCGCGCGUAGGCGGUUUUUUAAGUCUGAUGUGAAAGCCCACGGCUCAACCGUGGAGGGUCAUUGGAAACUGGAAAACUUGAGUGCAGAAGAGGAAAGUGGAAUUCCAUGUGUAGCGGUGAAAUGCGCAGAGAUAUGGAGGAACACCAGUGGCGAAGGCGACUUUCUGGUCUGUAACUGACGCUGAUGUGCGAAAGCGUGGGGAUCAAACAGGAUUAGAUACCCUGGUAGUCCACGCCGUAAACGAUGAGUGCUAAGUGUUAGGGGGUUUCCGCCCCUUAGUGCUGCAGCUAACGCAUUAAGCACUCCGCCUGGGGAGUACGACCGCAAGGUUGAAACUCAAAGGAAUUGACGGGGACCCGCACAAGCGGUGGAGCAUGUGGUUUAAUUCGAAGCAACGCGAAGAACCUUACCAAAUCUUGACAUCCUUUGACAACUCUAGAGAUAGAGCCUUCCCCUUCGGGGGACAAAGUGACAGGUGGUGCAUGGUUGUCGUCAGCUCGUGUCGUGAGAUGUUGGGUUAAGUCCCGCAACGAGCGCAACCCUUAAGCUUAGUUGCCAUCAUUAAGUUGGGCACUCUAAGUUGACUGCCGGUGACAAACCGGAGGAAGGUGGGGAUGACGUCAAAUCAUCAUGCCCCUUAUGAUUUGGGCUACACACGUGCUACAAUGGACAAUACAAAGGGCAGCGAAACCGCGAGGUCAAGCAAAUCCCAUAAAGUUGUUCUCAGUUCGGAUUGUAGUCUGCAACUCGACUACAUGAAGCUGGAAUCGCUAGUAAUCGUAGAUCAGCAUGCUACGGUGAAUACGUUCCCGGGUCUUGUACACACCGCCCGUCACACCACGAGAGUUUGUAACACCCGAAGCCGGUGGAGUAACCUUUUAGGAGCUAGCCGUCGAAGGUGGGACAAAUGAUUGGGGUGAAGUCGUAACAAGGUAGCCGUAUCGGAAGGUGCGGCUGGAUCACCUCCUUUCU
rnacentral:rRNA from 1 species